AGGCGCCCGCGCCGCCCAAGGGACUCGCGCGCUACCUGCACCCGGCCCUGGACCCCGCGGCUCUCCUGUUCCUGGGCGGUGUGAGGGUGGCCCCUGGAGAGCCGGCCGAGUGUGACCCGCACCCCGCGCUCUCAGGGAUCGGACCCUGGCGUGGCGGACUGGGUCCCGGGAUGCGGACUCGAGGCACCACUGUCCCCGCGACUUCGGCCGUGGAGGAGGUGCGUUGGGCUUAUUACAAGACGCGAUCGCCGAGAACGCUCAGCUCUGAAAGGACUGCAACAUAAAAACCUCGCCAGUAUUUCCCGGGCGGACUCCAAGGGUCAUCCUUCCAGCCUUCUUCAAAUGCCAUUUUCCUAGGAACCUCUGACCUCCCUCGACCCUAGAAGCAGAGCGAACCUCCCACCCGUGGGUCCUCUCCCACAGGACUGGGAAUCCCUGUAGCCUCGCUCGUGUGCGGUGGAGGAGCUUGAAAGAAAGUAGCAAAUCAAUAAAUGGGUUUUUCAGUCAGUGAAGUCCAUCAAGUGAUGGACAGAGCAACGGAGGUCCAGAGAGAAGAGGCAACUGGUCCAAGGUUAUUCAGGGUGUGGGUGUUGAGACUAUAACCAGAACCCAGGGUCUAGUCACAAUAUAAUCAGAGCAGGUUAAUAGAUUUGUCUGGGUUUGGUCCUUGACAGGGACCACCAGGGUGGGGGAAAUCCCCUGGAGGAGGAAAUGGCAACCCACUGCAGUAUUCUUGCCUGGAGAAUCCCAUGGACAGAGGAGCCAGGCGGGCUACAGUCCGAAAGGUCGCAAAGUUGGACACGACUGAGCGACCAAACCACAGGGGCAUGUGCGGUAGCGAUAGCGGAUAUGUAUGGAAAGAUCACUGUGCGCAGGUGCCAAAACCCUGCGGACGCGUGACGACCGUUGGGGAGUCUCGGUGGGAGAACCAGGCGCAGAUAGAUAACCUGCCCAAGGUCACGGCCUAACCAGAGGCGAAGUGUGUGGGAUCUCAGACCUAGAGAGUUGGCUCCAGAGCCAAGGUCAAACCUCUUCCUGGGUAAGGACAGUGUUCGGGCGGGAGCAAGAGGCUGCCGCGGCUCCGGGCGUCCGAGUGUGUCCUCCCUGACCUGAGCAGGUGCUAGGAAUGGACCUCUGUCUGACUGCGGAGUCUUCAAGGGGUCCGAGCGGCUCCCCCACUGAUCAGAAGGGCGCUGACCCCAGCCUGGCGCAGGGGAACCACUCUCUAAGAAUCAACGAAAAGAGCUGAGUCCUACCGCGCCUUCCAGUGUGAUAUCUGCUCUGGAGGCCCCAUCCCACCCCGCCCCAACAGAAAUUCUGCCACUUUUAUUCCCGGAACCAGAAAGCAUUCCUGCUGCUGGUAAGUCACUUCAGUCGUGUCUGACUCUGUGCGGCCCCACGGACUGCAGCCUACCAGGCUCCUCCGUCCAUGGGAUUUUCCAGGCAAGAGUACUGGAGUGGGGUGCCAUUGCCUUCUACGGAAAGCAUCCCAGUCAGUUAAUAAUACCCGUUGUUAUUUAUAAAGUGCUUAUCAUGUGCUUUCAAGGAUCUAAGUGAUGUAUAAUCACAGUCUCACCAAUCCUCCUUCUCCCCUACCAAAGACCCUGUGAGGUGGCUACCAUCAUUACCCCCAAUUUACAGAGGAUAAGUCAGAGGCUCAAUGAAACCCACCCAGGAUCACAAGGCUAGUAAGGGGUAGGGGUAGGAUUUCAGUCACUGUCCCUCUGACUCCAAAACUAUUUGCUUGUAGCACUUCCUCCUGUCUCCCCCACACCCCUAAUCUGCUGCUAAUUCCCAUUUAUCCCAUGUUCUAGUUAAGAUGUCUAUUUAUUGGGCAAGCAUAAGGGGAUGAAUGCUAUUUAGCAGAGCAGAUGCCUUCUGAAUCAUCACCCCUUAAAGUGUUUAUACGCUUAAGGAAGCUUUAAGGGUAUUAUCAUUUAAUCUUCUGGAAUGUGAUGAUCCACAAAGGAACAGAGUUAAAACAAGAAUAUAGAAAUAAACAAGAAAAUUCCACUGGCCCAAAUGCCCAGUUGUGACAAAUUGAUACUUUGCAUUUCUAAGUUAAUUUGUUAGAGCCACUUUAAUUUACACGUAAAACAAAUUUAAUUUUUGUGAAACAAAAUUGAGUUUUACCAGAAGCAAUUUCUUUCAUUAUGUUCCUAAUUUUAAGAGAACCCUCACAGGCUUUUUAUGCCAGUUGUAUUAAUUAUACAACAAGCCAGUGAGGUAAAAUCAGCAAGUUAAUUAUCACAAAGCCAGUGCAUAAAACCAAUCUUCUAUGACAAAUACUAUUUACAGAGGACUUCCCUGGUGGUCCAGUGGUUAAGAAUUCGCCUUCCAAUGCAGGGGAUGUGGGUCCAAUCCCUGGUCGGGGAACUAAGAUCCUACUUGCUGCAGUGCAACUAAACCUGCUCAGAGCAGGGAAGACCCAGCGAAAUCAAGAAACAAAUACUCUUUACAAAUUGAGUGAACUGUGUUCUACAACAAAUAUUCAAACGCAUGUAACUGUCUAUAUCAAGCACCCUUUGGUUUGAUAACUUGCUAGAAGGACUUGCAAAACUCACUGAGAGCUGUUACAUACUCAUGGCUGUAGCUUAUUACUGCUAAAAGAUGCAUACUAGGAUCAACAAGGGAAGAAAUGCCAAGGGCAGAAUCCAGGGAGGUACCAAACACAGAGCUCCGGUUUAUCCUCUCCCCAGGGAGUCAGACAGCAUGACUUCCCAGCUUUGAAUUAUAAUGAUAUUCGUGGAGGACUGCCAAUGAGGGGAGCUUACCCAAGCCUUGGUGUUGAAAGCUUUUCUGGGGGGGUUCCAUCACAUAAGCAUGGUUAUCGCCCUUGUGGUUGAUCUCAGUCUCCAGAUCCUCAAGAGAUCACACUGAUAUCACAUGACCCAAAGUCCCUACCUCAAAUCAUUUGUUAUCAUAUGGCUGGCCAAAGGCCAAACAAAACAGAACACUCCUAUCAGACGCGAUAUGCCAAGGGCAAGAGAUGACUUCCCAGCAGCCCAGGGUUAAGGUCAGACUUUCCUUUGGGCAAGUUAAAUUAUUUUCAAUACAAAUGUCUAACAGGUUUAAAAUUUUCACCAGUGUGGCAGGCUCCUGAAUCUUUGUAGGGCUUAGAUCUCACCUUCUGGCGUGUAUGUGUCUUACCAUGGCAUCUAGAAUACCUGCGAUUUCUUGCUCACUGGGUGUAGAUAGCAUGAUGUCAUCAACAGUGCCCCAGUGGGAUGUUCUGCAGAACAUCCAGACAAUGAAGGGUUCUUUGGACCUGUACUGUCUAACAUGGUAGCCACUAGCUAUGUGCAGCUUUACAGCACUUGAAAUGUGAGUAGUUGAAUUAAGAUGUGAUGUGCUGUAAGUAUAAAUUAUACAUCAGAUCCCCAAACUUGGAAUGAAAAAAUAAUGUAAAAUAGCUCAUUAACAUUUUAUAUUGAUUCCAUGUUGAAAAGAUAAUAUUUUAGAUAUAUUGGGCUAAGUAAAUGCAGGUAUUAUUAAUUUUACUUGUUACUUUUUGAUUUUUAUUAUUAUUUUUAGUGUGAUAACUGAAAAUUAAUAAUAAAAGGAAACCUCAACUAAAAUUGGAGUUAGGAAGGCCUGCAGAGCGAGCUCUCCCACCCUGCCCCUCACAAUUAACCCCAACAGGAAGACAUCAGUUCUUAACUGGGAGAUGGAGAGAAGUACUCCCAAACAGGAAAUGUAACUACCCAACUACCCCAGCAGGAAGGCAACGAGCUCAGCCAAUGAGAAACUGUCUUCCUCUGAACUUUUUGUUUGCUCCAGUGAACUUUGAUUUUUUUCCUUGCAGAUUUGGUGUCUGCUGAGGGCCAGAUUCCUGGUUCAUAAAUGGCUGUUUUCUCCUCUGUGUCCUCACAAGGCAGAAGGCACAAGAGAGCUCUCUAGGGUUUCCUUUACUUAUUUUUUAAAAAUAUUUUAUUAUUUAAGUAAUUUAUUUGUUUGGCUGCAUCAAGUCUUGUGGCACUUGGGAUAUUUGUUGCUAUGUACAGUGUCUUUAGUUGCAGCAUAAGAACUCUUAGUUCUUUAGUUGCGGCAUGCAAAUUCUUGGUUGCGGCAUGUGGGAUCUAGUUCCCUGACCAGUGAUUGAACCCAGGCCCCCUGCUUUGUGGAGUCUUAGCCACUGGACCACCAGGGAAGUCCCUGGGAUGUCCUUUGGGCACUGAUCCCAGUCAUGGGGGCUCUCAGAUGACCUAAUCACAUUUUAAAAGUAUCUUUUCCAUGAUGGCUUAUCUCAGCAUGUCGAAUAUAGUCCCCUGUGCUAUACAGUAGGACCUCAUUGUUUAUAAUAGUGUUUUUAUUGCUGUUAUUUUAGUGAAUAAUCUAACUCCCACAUUUCAACCACAGAAAGUGAAGCUUGUGGCAGAGGACUCCUGGCAGGGCUGCGUAAAGGGCCCCUUCCUAGGGGAGGAGUGAGGGAUGCGUGAGUCAGGUGGGAGAGGAGGCAGAGCCAGUGGGGGACAGUCUUCCUGAGUGGGCUGCCUAUGAUCAAGAGGGCCUGCUGGGUCUGUGGGGCUGCACCCUGAGAAGUGCAUGAACUGCACCCGCUGCUCCCAGUCCUCAUAGGUCAGGGGUUCACUCCACAGGGCAUUGAGUCUCCUGCAUUUCAGGGCUGUGGGGACAGACCCCAGGGCAUGGUCAAUACGGGAGCCCAGAGCAGGGGUGAGAGCACAGUUGGGCCAGGAGGUGAGGUGCUGUCAGUUACCCCUGCAUAAAGCUGUCCAGAACCCAUGUGGAACUGACAUGGGAGCCAGUGGAGAUGAGAAAGGUCCAGAAUGGCCCAAGUCAGGGAUCAGAGGAAACUGGGCAAACACCACAUGCACCUCUCCACUUCCCAUGCCAGACUAGCCAGUUCAGAGUGACCAGGAAUGUAGCCAAGGGAAUGGGUCUGUAGGGUCUCACAGAUGCACAGAUUCUGGGGAUCUGUAGGGCCUGGAGAUUUGACUGCCUGUUUCUUUAAGAAGCUAAUUUAAGGUGAUCAUUUCAGUUCUCAUCUUUGAGCACCUACCAGACAUACUUUUAAAAAAUUUUAUUCCCACAGGAGCUCUUAUUUUGCAGAUGAAAAAAAUCUCAGGGACUUCCCUGGUGGUUCAGUGGUUAAGAAUCCAUCUUGCAAUGCUGGGGACAGGGGUUGAUCCCUGAUCUGCAAGGACUGCACAUGCUGCUGGGCAGCUAAGCCCGAGUGCCGCAACUACUGAGGCCUGUGAGCCCUAGAGCCUUUGCUCUGCAGCAAGGGAAGCCGCCGCAGUGAGAAGCCUGCGGACCUCAAGUAGAGAAAGCCCGAGCACAGAAUGAAGACCCAGUGAAGCCAAAAAAAAAUUAAAAAUAAAACAAACUUUUAAAAAAGAAAAAGUCUUAGGUAGGCUCUAAUUCAACCAGUCUGAAUGAUUCUAAGGACUAGAAUGUAGACUGGACAUUUUAAUUCCAAAUUUUUUGUCUCCCUCCCACCAAAGGGCUUCCCUUGUAGCUCAGCUGGUAAAGAAUCUGCCCGCAAUGCAGGAGAACUCAGUUCAAUUCCUGGGUCAGGAAGAUUCCCCUGGCGAAGGGAUAGGCUACCCACUCCAUCAUUCUUGGGCUUCCCUGGAGGCUCAGCUGGAAAGAAGCUGCUUGCAAUGUGGGUAGACCUAGGUUUGAUCCCUGGAUUGGGAAGAUCCCUUGCAGAAGGGAACGACUGCUCACUCCAGUAUUCUGGCCUAGAGAAUUCCAUGGAUAUCCAUGGGGUCCCAAAGAGUUGGACAUGACUAAGCAACUUUCGCUUUCACUUUCUCCCACCAAAAGGAGACUAGUGAGCCCAAACCUUUAAUUGUCCCCACCUUGUCCCCCUCCUUUAAUUUCCUGUGUACCAUCAAACUUAUUAAUUUAAAAUGAAUUUGAAAAAAAAAAAAGACAAAAAAAAAUGAAUUUGAGUGGCGUCUCUCUCAUAUUAUGCUGCUAUGAGGAUCCAUCCUCAAGAGAAUCAGGAUCUAGAUGGAAGGAUGGAGAUGAGACUGCAACAUGUGCUGAGUGUGUACUGAAUGCCAGAUAUUGUCCAAGGGACUUUUUAUUCCAAUAGAGUAAUGUUGCAUUUAAUUCUCACAGCAGCUUGAGAUUAUUAUUGAGGUGUUAUUAUUUGCCUCAUUUUGCAAAUGAGUGAAUGAGUCUUCAGAGAGGGUAAAUGAAUUGCCUAAAAUCUUUCAGCUCUAAAUGCAGAACGAAGGAGUGGAACACAGUUUCGCUGCCUCUAAUGCCCCCUUUCUUCUUACCAUGCUGUGUAAAGUUUUGGUUUGUCAAAUCUGAUGAUUCACGUGACUCGAAAACAAUAACCAAAUUUUGCAUGGGUGUCUUUUUGAGAAUGGAAAGUGACUGAAUGGUUUUUCAGUUCCCCAUUCUCUUUGCCCUGACUUGAGAGAGUCAGAAAGUAAGCAUAAACCCUGCGUCUGUAGCAGAUAUGCAAGCCACCCUCGGACAGCUUUCAUUUCCAAGUCAGGCAGAGCCACGAGUGGAGGAUGAAACCAGCCUGAUCUGGGAUUCCGCAGACCAAGGUGCUCAAGGAUGGGCUUUGCAUCCGAAGACUCCUCAAGCCUGCACCUGCUUUUGGGCACAGAUGUUUGUAAGAAUUUUUUCUUUCUUUUUGGCCACACUGCAUGGCAUGUGGGAUCUUAGUUCCCUAACGAGGGAUAGAACCUGAGCCCCUUGCAGUAGAAAUGUGAAGUCCUAACUACUGGGCAGCCAGGGAAGUCCCUAUAAGAAUAUUUUUUAUAACGGAUGAAUGUGCAGAGAAGCUGAGACUUGCCCUCGCUGUGUCAGACAAGUCAACUGCACAGCCCAGAAGAGAAAACAGCUAGCAGCCCAGUCUUGUACAAACCUGCUGUGUGCAGGCUUUUGGAACCCAGCUGGCUAACUGUGCCACGUGGGAGCUGGGACGUUCGAGGACCAGAACUGUCCUGCUCCUGAUGCAAGGGGAGAAGAGCGGUGGUGAGGCCAGGUUCUUGAAAAGGGAAGGCCCUGUUUGGGAAAUGAUGCUGGGAAAGAUUGAAGGCAGGAGGAGAAGGGGAUGACAGAGGACAAGAUGGUUGGAUGGUAUCACCGACUCAACGAACACGAGUUUGGGCAAGCUCCGGGAGAUGCGGAAGGACAGGGAAGCCUGGCGUGCUUCAGUCCAUGGGGUCACAAAGAGCCGGACACGACAGAGCAACUAAGCAACAACAAGGGGCCACUGGCAGCUGCCAAGCAAGGUGAGUCCACCUCUUAACUAUUGGUUUUAUAGUGACAACCAUCAGAUUAUGAAGGAAGACUGACUCCACCAGUUCCUAAAUGUUUCCUGAGGGUCUCUUUUGUCUGUUACGUCAUACCAGAAAGAAUAAGUCUGGGAAAUGAUCUGGACAUCUACCCCAGCCCUAUAUUUGUCCUUGGGUCAGUUAUUUACCCUUGAUGAGUGGCAUCUGUAAAAUGGAAAUAUCACCAACCUCAUGGGUGGUUGUGCAUUUAAAAGAAUAUAUUAGAAGUAUCCAGGCUUCCCAGGUGGCACAGAGUAAAGAAUCCCCCUGCCAAUCCAGGUGAUGCAAGAGAUGGAGGUUCGAUCCCUGGGUUGGGAAGAUCCCCUGGAGGAGGAAAUGGCGACUCACACCAGUAUUCUUGUCUGGGAAAUCCCAUGGACAGAGGAACCUGCUACAGUCCAUGGGGUUGCACAGACUGAGUGACUGAGCAGACAUUAGAAGUACCUAGAGCAGAGUUGGGCCCAUAGUAGUCACUCAACUGAUAGUAGUAGCUGCUGCUGCUGCUGUUACUAUUGCAAUGAUUCGAUUGUUUUGUUCUCUGUUUAUGUUGACUGUCUAGGCCCGGGGGCAUGACAGGGAGCUCAUCCUGACAUUUAUGGAGAUUCAAGGCAACUGGGGGCAGAGACUGUGGCCCCCAAGAAGGAACCAGCAAUACAGGGGUCCCUGUUUUGGAGGAAGGUGCCAGCAGCUCGUCCAUCACACAAAUCCAGAGGGAGUCAGCCACCUGCUCCAUGUGCUGCCCAGGGCUGUGAUCAUCCAGAGAAGAGUCUGCAGGGGCGGGGAGAGAGGGGCAUGGCUGCUCUUGGGAGCACAGAGGCUCUGAGAGGAGCCUGUGGCUAUGGGGUGUGAGGCAGGAAGCUGGCACCCACAGAGCUGCAGGACUUGAGGAAGCUGAGGAGGAAAUCCUGGGCAGGCUUCAUAAGACUGUCCUGAGAAGGGAGCACAAAUCCACACGCUCCCAGCACCGUGUGAUAUAAAUACACAAAGUCUGCUGGGGACUGAGGCUUCCCCGGUGGCUCAGACGGUAAUCUGCCUGCAGUGUGGGACACACAGGUUCAAUCUCUGGGUCAGGAAGCUCCCCUGGAGAAGGGAAUGGCUACCCACUCCAGUAUCCUUGCCUGAAGAAUCCCAUGUAAUCCACCUGGCAGAUUACAGUCCAGGGGGUCACAAAGAGGCAGACACGACUUAGUGACCAAACAACAACAACAUACAAACAUACAAUGUGACAUGCAGGAAUGUGCCUCCAUGUGAAAAAAUUCUGAGGUUGUAGUCAAUUCCCACAUAACACAGAGACUCUUAACUGGACACUGAACCUGGCAAUGGUCUUGGUAGGGGGCAGGGGGCAUCCCAGGAUCCCUGGAAUUAUAUAGGAUUGGUUUGUGCAUUUAUCCAAGAUUGUUUAUUAUUUCAUCACAUCUUAACAUGAGCCCGUGACCCAAAGUGUUAUGAAUUCCUGCAUAAAACAUCUAUAAGUGCAUAUUAAAGAUUCCAAAUAAUUCUGCUUUGUUCCUUUAAAAGCAGCCACAACUUUGGGGCCCUGAGUUUCAGAGCACUUUUGUGUGUGUGUUUUAGAGGCUCAGUCCCACUUUGUGAUCUCCUACUUCACUACCAGAUCAAUCCUCUAGGUGGCAGCAAAACCCUCAAAUGGACUUAGUGCUCCUUAGCUCUGCCAUGUCUGACCAGUUGUAUCUCCAUGGGCUGUAGUCUGCCAGGCCCCUGUCCAUGGAAUUUCCCAGGCAAGAAUACUGGAGCAAGUUCCCAUUUCCUUCUCCUGGUUUUUGAAUUAUAUCAUUUUUUUUCCACACCAAGGAUUGAACCCAAAUCCUGAGCUUGUUUCAGCUCUUUCCGUGGUUCAUCUCACCAAAAGCUAAAUAUACUGAGGUGCCUACUAUUGUGAUUGUUGGACCCAAGUUCUGACUGCUGGAUUAAAAAAUUUUUUUUAUCUGACUGUACCGGCUCUUAGUUGCAGCAUGGGGAAUCUAGUUCCCUGACCAGUAAAGUAAAUCUAGUUCCCUGAGCCCCCUGCAUUGGGAGUAUGGAGUCUUAGCCACUGGACCACCAGAGAAGUCCCCUGACUACUGGAUUGAUUAGGUGACUUGAUAGUACAGAUGUGGAAAUCCGAAGUACAGAUUUUCCCCCAGUUAACAAGAAGCAUCCUUACUACGCCUUUCAUAUUUGUAUUCUCAGUCCUUGGAGCAGAGCUAGUUAAACAAAUGAGUGAGGGUAUGUUAGGCAUUGCCUGUCUAGGAGACUCCCUUGUGCCAGCCAAGGUCCUUGCUGGUAAGCAACAGAGGUCACCUCUGGCUGUCUUAAGUAGAAAAAGAAUUUACUGGGACAAUAUGAGACUAGAUCACAGAGUCACCAGAGAGCAGUCAAAAUCCAGACUGUUGCCUCACUGCAUCACGUGUUCCAGACUUCUGGCAGAUGGUCCUUUGAUAGACCUGCUGCCAAAGGGGGAAGACAGGAAGGAUGCUCUGACACAGCUUCUCAGGGAAGCAGGGCCUGUGUCCCCUCUUAACAUGCCCGGCACCCCAGUCUCACCCAGCAGAGUGUCUCAGGGCCUUUGCCAGCUUCUGCCCCAUCUCAAGUGUUUUUACUACCAUUCAUUUCUUCUUAACUUGGAGUAGCGUUGAAGACUGCAGACACUCUCAACUUGACUUUUCCUGGGAAUACUCUGAAUGUUUCACCAUGGAGUGAACAUUUAAUGAGGGGCUCAGGUAGCUACAUUCUCUAUCUGGCUUAAGAAUUUCUCUUGUGUUCCCAGUUUACUAGGAGGUUUUUUUUUUGUUUGUUUUUGUUUUUUUUUAUUAGUUGGAGGCUAAUUACUUCACAACGUUUCAGUGGGUUUUGUCAUACAUUGAUAUGAAUCAGCCAUAGAUUUACACAUAUUCCCCAUCCCGAUCCCCCCUCCCUACUAGGAGUUUUUGAAAACUGAAACGGUCCUGUAUUUUGUCAAAGAACUUCUGGGCACAAAAUCCUUCUCUCAAGUGUCUCUACAGCGAAGGACACUCAUAGACCUUUCAGUGUUGAAUCAGCCUUCUCGCCUUGGGGAGAUUAACUCAUGCAACCAUCCAUCCAUUCUGCAAGUCCUGCAUACCUGACGUGAAAAGCGGUGUCCUCAGCCCUGGGUGUGGACAAAAACGACAACAAAGUGCCUGCCUGCAGGGAGCAUGCACUGCACUGGAGGGAUGCAAACAAGUUUUUGAAAAACACAAAAUGUAAAGUAUGUCUGAGAGUGAUGAGUGUCCCAUGACCUACAAAUCCCUCUUUAUCCUCAUGUGCUCUGGGUGGCUCCACAUCUCCACCUCUGCCUGGAUGGAAACACUGCCCGGCCUGAGAACCUCUGAGGACACCUGACUAUUCUUCUCCAGAGAGCCAUCCUGUGCCUCCCCUGCACUCUUAUCCAAGCUUUCAACUGUUUGUCUUCACCACUCACCCUUCUCCUCUUCCUGAUGGCUCUCUACUUUGUUAUUCACUGGAGAUGUCAUACACAGCAGUGCACAGUGCCGUGCAAGGUGUGCAGGUGGUUUGAACAUCCAAGUGAACAACCUUGGUCUCUGGUUCACUCCACUCCUCCCCCUGGCUGUGCAAUUGAUAUAAGGGUACUCAUUGGUCCUGCCUCCACCCCAUCCAUCCUCACAUCUUGACUUGGCAUCUGCGACCAUCAUAUUUCCUUACCAAAAAUUCCUCUCUACCUUGGUUUUUCAAUUACUCCAAUAAGAUAAAUAAAUCACUGACCCCUCCCCCCCCCCAAAACAUCCAGUUUGUCUGACUCACUGCUUAAUCUCAAUCGUCUAGCUUUAUUCCUCCUGCUUCUUUGAGUAUGAUUUGCUUUACUUCUCUUUGACUAUGUUUAAAAAAACCUGAAAAAGCUACUGUGUUAACUGAUUUCAAGUAAAAAAGUAUCCAGAAGAAAAGACAGUACUUGAGCUCUUAUAUUUAUCAAAUAAAAGUGCUGAAAAUAA